UGAGCCAAGUUUAGGGUUUUCUCAAAACCCAAGCAGUAUUGAACUGAAGAGUUUGAUCAUGGCUCAGAUUGAACGCUGGCGGCAGG
rnacentral:rRNA from 1 species